rnacentral:rRNA from 1 species
GCGCUUCUGACAAAUACUGACGCUGAGAUGCGAAGCGUGGGGAGCAAACAGGAUUAGAUACCUGGUAGUCACGCUGUAAACGAUGUCGAUUUGGAGUUUGGGGGCAUGACCCUUGGGCUCCGGAGCUAACGCGUUAAAUCGACCGCCUGGGGAGUACGGCCGCAAGGUUAAAACUCAAAUGAAUUGACGGGGGCCCGCACAAGCGGUGGAGCAUGUGGUUUAAUUCGAUGCAACGCGAAGAACCUUACCUGGUCUUGACAUCCAUAGAAUCUUUCAGAGAUGAGAGAGUGCCUUCGGGAGCUAUGAGACAGGUGCUGCAUGGCUGUCGUCAGCUCGUGUUGUGAAAUGUUGGGUUAAGUCCCGCAACGAGCGCAACCCCUAUCCUUUGUUGCCAGCACGUAAUGGUGGGAACUCAAAGGAGACUGCCGUUGAUAAAGCGGAGGAAGGUGGGGACGACGUCAAGUCAUCAUGGCCCUUACGACCAGGGCUACACACGUGCUACAAUGGCGUAUACAAAGGGAUGCGAAGGUGCGAACUGGAGCGGACCUCACAAAGUACGUCUAAGUCCGGAUUGGAGUCUGCAACUCGACUCCAUGAAGUCGGAAUCGCUAGUAAUCGUGAAUCAGAAUGUCACGGUGAAUACGUUCCCGGGCCUUGUACACACCGCCCGUCACACCAUGGGAGUGGGUUGCACCAGAAGUAGAUAGCUUAACCUUCGGGAGGGCGUUUACCACGGUGUGGUUCAUGACUGGGGUGAAGUCGUAACAAGGUAACCA